GGAGAGGUGGCAGAGUGGUCGAAUGUACCUGACUCGAAAUCAGGCGUACGUUUAUAGCGUACCGAGGGUUCGAAUCCCUCCCUCUCCG
rnacentral:tRNA from 1 species